UGGGGCAUUGGGGGGCAUGCUGCCGUUUAUACACUGCAGUGUGUGUCUGCAUGUCUGUGUGUGCAUGUGCUUUCACAUGUGGCAACGGUCCGACUUGGGGGGGGGGGGGGGGUUAUCUGGAGAGUGAGAGAGAGUUUACUGUGUCACCUCCCCAAAUAAAUAGGAAUUUUUGAUUACAGUAACAUGCCCAUGAAUUAUGCAGAACGAUUGAUGAUGCUCUGCAGAUGAAAGGUAACCCUUUGUAACCUUUUCCCCCAGUGCAGGGAAACAAGCUGUUAACGAGACAUGUGGCGGGGGGGGCCUCCAACCACGCGCGGUAUGGACGGCGACGGCGCAGGGUAUUGCCGAGAGGAUGGAACAGAGGCUGGCCAUCAAGAGGGGCGGGUCCAUUUACCCCCUCUGCUCCGGUACAAUUCAACGCAAGCGUGCACGAGCAUACCUUGCUCCGCAGUAACACACAGACACACGCACAACGUGCAAAGACAUGUGCUGAUGGACAGUCCCCCCCACCACCUUACGUAGAUAUACUCGCUCUCACGCAUCCUCACGCAAGCAUGUGAACUCACACACAGAUCCCCCCCUCCCCACGCACGCACACACACACACACACACACACACAGACACCCAAGGCAAUUUGGCAAGUGCCCAGCUCGGGAGACUGUACAAAGAGCCAUUGUGCUUAGCGCUGUUAAUCAGCUUGGUGUGCUUUCUUCUGGAAUGUGUGAAGAAGGGGCCGUUUCGGAGCUGCCGUCUUAGCCCGUUCGUUCCCACAGUCUUAAAGACACAGCUGCCCCAAGCUGCAACACUGGCAUGCAGACGCUGCAGGGAUGAGGAUGGGUGGGAGGGGUGGUGGGCACUCAGUGGGGAUUACCAUAUUGUGUGGGUAAUAUGGCAGCCGAGCAGACUUUCCCCCCAGAGACCCCCGGCUGGUCACGCGAGAGGGUUUGCAGGCCGUACCGUGCAGCUCCCUCUCGUGCAAAGUGCCACUCCGUCAGAAGAACACUGGCCCCUAUCGUGCGUAAUUACAAGCAGUCUAUGCUCACUUCCUCCUAAGGGCUGAAUAUCUGACGAGGGUUGAGGAGCAACGGUAACUACUGCCACUAUUGUGGGGGGGUGGUCACUCAGGAAAUGACGUCAACGGGAGAGGGAUGUCAGCAAGGGAAGGAUGCUGACAGGUUUUAGGGCCAAAUGCCUAAGACACUCCACUGGAGAAAUCUCUAGUGGGAUCGUGAGUUUUUGGUUCUUACGGCACAUGGAGGGCAUGUGGAGUAGAAGGAGGCUGGUGGGAGACAGAUGGGGGAGUGGCGAGCAAGGUCAGGGAGGGGACAUGCCGGCACAGCGUGGCGCUCAGACGGUGGCCUGCGGUUUUAACGACUCGCUUCAUCAACUCGAAAGGACGCCACCCAGUAAUCCACAGGCAGAGCUCACGGGUUACACUGUGCGAUUACGGUCAAAGACAUGGUGCCUUGCUCCGUCUGGUUGGUCCGCAUAGGUCACGUUCCCCUCUCCUGACAGGGAAGCACCAGGAUGCUAGAGCGGACCAGCUCCUCACAGGUGCUCGACAACAUCUCCGAGUGUAGAGGUGAGAGGCGAGAAAAUGGCCCCCGCACACACUCAGACACUUCUGAAGCUGAUUGGUUGGGUAGACAGGAUAUGAGGUUGCCAUUCAAGUACAGCCAGCACUGCAAUCCCACCAUGCACCUGCCCCUCACAGAUAUCUCCCUUUAAAUAUCCUUUGAUUCAGACUCUUAUUCUGUGAGCAGACCAAAAACUCCUCUAUUUCACAACAGUUGUUGCUUUUACAUCUGGACAUAAUUCUCACCAUGAUGAGGGGUCAGGACCUGAAAAUGGGGCUGAGACACGACCAGGGCACGCAUAUCAAGACACCAUUUUCUGGAUGGGGAACGCGCCCUGACUUUCUUCAAAGCCUUUUAUUUCAGAAUUUGCAAAGAAGAAAAAAAAAGUUCAUUCUCUGCGUGCUCUUUUAAAUGGUUUGUUUGAAGUGGCUUCAUUUAAAAAAGGAUUUAUUCCAGA